rnacentral:rRNA from 1 species
UACGAAGGGGGCUAGCGUUGCUCGGAAUCACUGGGCGUAAAGCGCACGUAGGCGGAUCUUUAAGUCAGGGGUGAAAUCCUGGAGCUCAACUCCAGAACUGCCUUUGAUACUGGGGAUCUCGAGUCCGGAAGAGGUGAGUGGAACUCCGAGUGUAGAGGUGAAAUUCGUAGAUAUUCGGAAAGAACACCAGUGGCGAAGGCGGCUCACUGGUCCGGUACUGACGCUGAGGUGCGAAAGCGUGGGAGCA